GGCGAACGCUGGCGGCGUGCCUUACACAUGCAAGUCGAACGGCAGCACGGGUGCUUGCACCGGGGGGCGAGUGGCGAACGGGUGAGUAAUACAUCAGAACAUGGCCUGUAGUGGGGGAUAGCCCGGCGAAAGCCGGAUUAAUACCGCAUACGAUCUACGGAUUAAAGCGGGGGGCCUUCGGGCCUCGCGCGAUAGGGUUGGCCUAUACCGGAUUAGCUAGUGGGGGGGGGAAAGGCCUACCAAGGGGACGAUCAGUAGCUGGUCUGAGAGGACGAUCACCCGCCUUGGGAGUGGAACGCGGCCCAUGGGACUGCGGGAGGGAGCAGUGGGGAAUUGUGGGCAACGGGCGGGAGUAUGACCCAGUAAGGCCGAGUGUGAGGAAGAAACCUUCGGGCUGUAAUGAAGGUUUGUGCGGAGAGAAACGCUUGGCUCUAAGACGGUCGGUGGAUGACGGUACCGGAAAAAUAAGCACCGGCUAACUACGUG
rnacentral:rRNA from 1 species